GUUUUCUCUUCUGUUAACGGAGGAGCCUCCCUUUACUCUCCCAACAUUCACCAGAACCCAGUAGUUCCAUAUUAGUACACGUAGUAACAGAAUGACUGCAUUUACUGAAGCAGACCGUAGAAAAAUUCUAGAAUCCCUCACUCAGGAUGAGCUGGAAACUUUCAAAGAGGCUUUCACAGUCUUUGAUAAGAAUAGGGAUGGGACUAUCACCACAAAGGUAACAGAAGAGAAUAGAUACUUGAGGUUG